UACGGGGGGGGGCAAGCGUUGUUCGGAAUUACUGGGCGUAAAGGGCUCGUAGGCGGCCAACUAAGUCGGAUGUGAAAUCCCCAGGCUUAACCUGGGAACUGCAUCCGAUACUGGAUGGCUUGAAUCCGGGAGAGGGAUGCAGAAUUCCAGGUGUAGCGGGGAAAUGCGUAGAUAUCUGGAGGAAUACCGGUGGCGAAGGCGGCAUCCUGGACCGGCAUUGACGCUGAUGAGCGAAAGCUAGGGGAGCAAACGGG
rnacentral:rRNA from 1 species